GCAUCGCUACCGAGGAUGUCGCCGACGGCA
rnacentral:piRNA from 1 species